GGAGCGGCUGGCCGGGCGAGGGAUAGCGAGCUCAUCAUCCGAGAGGGAGCCGCCCGUCGCCGCCGGCGAGGAUCCAGCGGCGCCCGCAAAGGGAGAAAAGAGGACGAAGAAGAGGAAGAGGCUGGUCUUGCCGCAGUUCCACCUGGACUCGCUUGCUUGCUUGGGCUGUCGACAUCUUCAUGGAAGAAUGGAUCAAGAAUAGACACAGGACUGGGUUGCUCUUGCUUUUCACAGUUUUCCUCUUGUGAUGUUGGUCCAAGUGAUGCGCUUCGUCUGGGAGUUUCUGGCUCUUGGUGCUCUAGCAUCUUGACAACAUUCUCAGGGGAACCUGGAUAAAUCUCAGCAUGCUCUUUACUUGGUUCUGCUGCUUCUUUCGUUUCCUUCAAUGCAGACAUUCAAAAUUUUCAUUAAACUAGCACAUCAAUGGAAACUAGAUGAAAUAGCAAUAAAUAUUGUCUUGAACAUACUGGGGGUGAGUUAUAUUUGUGUUGCUCUGCUGGAAUGCAUUGCGCAUUCCGAAUUGCUUGCGAGUGAUCCAGAUUGUCAGUUUCUUCAAUACAACCAGUAUCAGGUUCAACGUCUGCAAGUAUUCAUAUUCUAUUAAUAUAAUAUCCAUGUAGUAUUUGAUAAUUUUGCAUCCUGUAAUCACUCACCUUGUUGCGUGUCUUCUUCCUUGUAAUAAUAUCUUUCUCGAUCCGCUUGUUCAACCGUUGCUUCACUAGGACCACAUUCAACACUCCCUGAAUCUCCCUCUGUUUUAUUUCCUUCUUCUGCAGAUUCUUCCCCCUCAGCCUUGUGUAUGGCACAAAUAUUUUUAUCUUCCUGUGAAUGUUCAAUAUACUCUUUUACCCUUGGGGUAUUCCCAGGUGAUGAUGGGGUACUGCAUUGAGGGAGGGAAAGCAUUCCUACCAAGGACCUUGAGACCUGAACUGCUGGACUUGGAUACUUGCCAGUAUGAGUAUCGUCCUUCAGAAUUUCUGUUAAAUGUUUUUUGGCUUCUGCGUAGAAGUUGGAUGCAUCCUUUGAGGUAGAUAAGUCGCUGUUGAAACCACCUACUGAAUGAUUUAUUUGCUUGUGUUUACUGCUGUUUGAAGGUCCAACAUCAUUUUUAUCAGUAGCUGGAGGGGCCUGUCUGGAAUCCUUUAUAAUUGUAAAUGAAUCUCUGAGCAAACACGGAUCUCUUUGUACAUCAUCUUCGUUCAUUGGGGGUCUUCCUUUUCUAGUUUCUCCGGUCACGAUUCUGAAUCUUCUCCUGACUUCCUUAACUGAAAAUGUUGAACAUUCAGCUGCACUGUAUUCUGGAGCUUGAAUUCCACCUGUUUGCCGAUGGAAGGAUGUCGAUGCAGUUGCUUCUGUAGGAUCAAAUCCUCUCCUUGGAUUUGGCUUCAGUAUUACUAUUUUGUUAACAGGCUGAGAAGACCUUCCUUCUGGUGCAUGUGUUCUGCUUGAUUUAUCUUUCUUCCAGAAGAAUAUAUUCCUGCUCUCUUUAUUCUUUGUUUUGAUAGCCAACUCACGCUGAUUUGAAGCCUUUGUAUCUUCGGCAAUGUUAGUUUUUUCAAGCAUUUUCUUGGGCUCUAGCCUGGCCCCUACAUGUCUGUUGCAAAUAUAUUUGUUGUCAACAAGCUGCUUUUCCUCGCUCACCGGUGUUUUCUGAUAAUCAAGGUCACGGGGAGGAUUGUUAUACUCAUUAAGCUUUGUAUGGAUAAUGGACUCUAAUUCAGGGUAUAGUUCACUCUUAUUCCUGCAAUCAUCAUGCGGCCCUUCAUCAUGGUACUUAUAGACUUGUCCCAGGAAAUCUGACAAAGCAAGCUCAAGGCCAUCUUCUUCCGCCUGUUCCAUGCAUUUUGAACCACUGGGAUCCAGGGACCCAGAGGAGGAAGCAAUGCCUAUGUCUGCGCUGGGAUCUGUGACUCCCUUUGGUUUGCUGUUCGGCGUUGUUCUUUUGUCCAGACAGACAUCAUGUCCCAGGUCAGCCAAUAUCCUUUGAACCUCGUCGUUUGGGAUCUUCUUCGAAUGUUUUGGCUUGCCAACCUCGCCCUCCAUGAGUCUUUUGACAGUUGGUUUCGUAGUGCUGCAUUCCUCCGUGUUCUGAGAAAUACAGGACCAAAACAUCAGUUGUCUCCAGGAAACAAGUUUCGACAUGCAGCGUAAAUAUUACAACAAUAGAAAAGCUUGAACAGAGUCUGUACUGCAUCAAGAGGACUGAAUGAUGGUAGUUCAGUACAAGCCCAUACACAAGAAGCAGUACCAGCAAAGCCACUGAAGGAGUGCCUUCUGCUCCCUUGCUUCCUGUCGAGGAUAAGCUUGGGGUCGCGGCGGGAGUAGAACAUGCGGAUGAGGCCCCAGGUGCACCCAACAUUGUUCUCUUGGAUUUGUGAAGCCCGUCUGUGGCUCGUCUUCCCCAUUCUCUCGGUGGUUUUCUUCUACCUGCACUCUGAAGGUGAAGUACCUGGCAGAAGUAUGAGUUGUUCAGUUCAUGGUGCUAAUCCUCAGCAAACGUGAAGUACCCGGCAGCAAGCAAACGUGGUUGCAGAAAAUGCAUGUGUCUACUCUGCAGUUAAAUCAACUAAUCACAGAAGAAACGGAGCUGGGGAUGCAAAGCCACCGCAGAGACAACUUGUAUCAUUAUGGUUAGAAAACAAGAGGGAAACCCAGCCAGCAAUAUUACAAGGCAAGAGUAUAA